AGCAGCCGCGGUAAUUCCAGCUCCAAUAGCGUAUAUUAAAGUUGUUGCAGUUAAAAAGCUCGUAGUUGAAUUUCGGGAUCAAUAUGUUGGUCGUGCCUUGGUACGUACUGGCAUUAUCGAUUCCUACCUUCUGAAGAACCUCGAUGUCAUUAAUUUGGUGUCUUGGGGAAUCAGGACUGUUACUUUGAAAAAAUUAGAGUGUUUAAAGCAGGCUCGCGCUUGAAUACAUUAGCAUGGAAUAAUGAAAUAGGACGUUUGAUUCUAUUUUGUUGGUUUCUAGGAUCGACGUAAUGAUUAAUAGGGAUAGUUGGGGGCAUUAGUAUUCAAUUGUCAGAGGUGAAAUUCUUGGAUUUAUUGAAGACUAACUACUGCGAAAGCAUUUGCCAAGGAUGUUUUCAUUAAUCAAGAACGAAAGUUAGGGGAUCGAAGACGAUCAGAUACCGUCGUAGUCUUAACCAUAAACUAUGCCGACUAGGGAUCGGAUGAUGUUAAUUUUUAAUGUA
rnacentral:rRNA from 1 species